UAAGAAUUAGUUAAUAAAAUAACAUUAAAUUGUCAAUUUAAAAUAAUUUAAUUAUAAUAUUUAAAUAUUCUUAA
rnacentral:tRNA from 1 species